UUCGCAAUGCCCGAAAGGGUGACGAAGCGACGCCGCGUGUGGGAAGAAGGCCUUCGGGCUGUAAACCACUGUCGGGAGUUAAGAAAUGCAAGGAUAUUAAUAGUGUCUUUGUUUGACUAAGGCUCCGGAGGAAGCCACGGCUAACUCUGUGCCAGCAGCCGCGGUAAUACAGAGGCGGCAAGCGUUGUUCGGAAUUAUUGGGCGUAAAGAGCACGUAGGCGGCUAUGUAAGUCGGUUGUGAAAGCCUUCCGCUCAACGGAAGAACAGCAUCCGAUACUACAUGGCUUGAGUGCGGGAGGGGAGAGUGGAACUUCUGGUGGAGCGGUGAAAUGCGUAGAUAUCAGAAGGAACGCCGGCGGCGAAAGCGGCUCUCUGGCCCAUAACUGACGCUGAGUGUGCGAAAGCUAGGGGAGCAAACGGGAUUAGAUACCCCGGUAGUCCUAGCCGUAAACGAUGGGCACUAAGUAGAGGGGUUUU
rnacentral:rRNA from 1 species